rnacentral:pre_miRNA from 1 species
UAUCCCUGACCAGUGGUAAGAAAAGCAAAGGCCAAGGGUGAUGACCCUUAGGUCUCUGAAGAUCGAACCCUGUCAGGGGGA